rnacentral:misc_RNA from 1 species
ACCAGUGUUUGAAGCUGAUGGCGGCCCUGGCGGUGAAGUGGGGAGCGCGCUUGCUCCGCGGUGUACGGUCGACGGCGUGCGCUCCGGUGCUCCACGAGCACAACGGUUCGGAACGAUGCGGUGACAGGACGCGUGUGCUUAGAGGGAGCCUCAACAAGAUGAAUCGCGUCAUCUACAAGGUGGUACUGACCGGAGGACCUUGUGGUGGAAAAACCACUGGGCAGGCCAGACUCAGCACCUUCUUUGAGAAUCUGGGAUGGAGGGUAUACCGGGUGCCGGAGACGGCGUCGAUCCUGCUCAGCGGCGGGAUCAAGUUUGGCGACCUCAGCUCCGCCCAGGCUCUGGAGUUCCAGAACAACCUGUUCAGGACGAUGGUCUCCAUAGAGAACACGUACUUCGAGCUGGCCGAGACGGUGGACCAGAACUGCCUCAUCAUCUGCGACAGGGGGACCAUGGACGCUAGCGCCUUCGUUCCUAAGGAGCAGUGGGAUGAGAUAAUGAAGCGGAACGGUUGGUCGUCGGUGGUGGAGGUCCGUGACAACCGCUACAACCAGAUCAUCCACAUGGUCUCGGCCGCCAACGGUGCAGAGGAGUUCUACUCACUCGAGGACCACAGCUGCCGCAGCGAGGACCUCUCCCUGGCGAGAACCCUGGACAACAAGGCGGCCGAGGCGUGGGUGGGCCACCCCUACUUCGACGUCAUGGAUAACUCGUGCGACUUUGACACGAAGAUCCGACGAACCAUCGCGACGGUGUGCCACCGACUGGGCAUUGAGACCGGCGACCGGCUGGCCACCGGCUCCAAGAAGUUCAAGUUCCUCAUCCGCGGACCGCUGCCUGACCCGUCAGCGUUCCCUCGCUUCCAGGACUUUGAGGUGGUCCACCACUACCUCAACACGGGCAGCCGGCGCAUGCAGACCCGACUCCGCAAACGCGGACAGAACGGCACGUGGUCGUACACCCACACGAUCCGUAAACCGGAGAAGCUGGGUCAGACGGUGGAGGUUAAGACUCAGAUCUCACACCGGGACUAUACGUACCUGCUGGAGGGGGCCGACCGCCGCCACCUGCCCGUCUACAAGACGCGGCGCGCCUUCCUCUGCAACGACCAGUACUUUCAGCUGGACAUCUACCGCGAGCCCCAUCACUCCAGGUGUAAGGACCUGCUGCUGCUGGAGACGUACUCCACACUGCCGCUGGACGAGCUGCAGAAGCGGCUGCCGCCCUUCCUCAGCGUGGCCGGCAACGUUACCGGCCAGGCCGAGUACUCCAUGUACAACCUCUCGCUGCGCGACGACUGGGACAAGCAGAACUUCUACAGCGGCCCGGCCGGUAAGGCGGACGCCCGCGCGCCGCAGCCCUGUGGAGACUAACCGCCUCCGCUGCCGGCGCCGUGCCGCCGCCGGAGACACACUAACAGACACCGGCCGGGGCCCCGCAGUGCAGCAGCGGAUGAGGAGUCUGAGGACGUCACCAAGGGCGUCUCGGAGCUCACCACCAACGGCACCACCGACACCAACGGCACUAACGGCAGCCACGUACGCGCCAGCGGCCUGUGCAAUGGGAGCUAGUGCAGGUCGGCGCCCGGCUCAGCCGCGCCCAGAGAGAGUGAGAGAGCGCCGGACUCAGGAGUGAGAGUGAGUGAGUGAGAGUGUGCGCAGAGUGCCCGGCCGGCGGGCUGCGUUACCCCGUACUGCGAGGACCGUUUACCCCGUACUGCGGGGGCCGUUUUACCCCGUACUGCGGGGACCGUUUUACCCCGUACCUCGACCCGACUCGAGCGGCGCUGCCGGGAGUCGGCCCUGCCCCGCCCGGCGGACCGGCGGACGGCCGCUCGAUCGUCUUUCUGCGCAGCGCUGCGGUCACCCGACACCCGAGUGACACUGGUAGCGGGGGUGUCAGAGUGUCAGAGUGUCAGGGGCGGCGCUGACACCCAGUGGCCCGAGUGAGACUAGUGUUGAAAUUGGUGCCGAAGUACCGGUAAUGUUAUGUCAAUAUACGUGUUAUCAGGAGGUGUGCGACA